rnacentral:ncRNA from 1 species
AUCUUCAGGGAUGGGUGAAAUUCCCUACCGGCGGUAAAGCCCGCGAGCUCUUCGGAGCAGAUCCGGUGUGAUUCCGGAGCCGACAGUACAGUCUGGAUGGGAGAAGAU